rnacentral:rRNA from 1 species
GGAUAAGUGCUGAAAGCAUCUAAGCACGAAACUUGCCCCGAGAUGAGUUCUCCCUGAGACUUUAAGUCUCCUGAAGGAACGUUGAAGACGACGACGUUGAUAGGCCGGGUGUGUAAGCGCAGCGAUGCGUUGAGCUAACCGGUACUAAUGAACCGUGAGGCUUAACCUUAC